rnacentral:rRNA from 1 species
UUUCCGGUUGAUCCAGCCAGAGGCCAUUGCUAUCGGAGUCCGAUUUAGCCAUGCUAGUCGCACGAGUUCGUACUCGUGGCAAAUAGCUCAGUAACACGUGGCCAAACUGCCCUAUGGACGGGGAUAACCUCGGGAAACUGAGGCUAAUCCCCGAUACGGCUCCCACGCUGGAAUAGCAGGGAGCUGGAAACGCUCCGGCGCCAUAGGAUGUGGCUGCGGCCGAUUAGGUAGACGGUGGGGUAACGGCCCACCGUGCCCAUAAUCGGUACGGGUCAUGAGAGUGAGAGCCCGGAGACGGUAUCUGAGACAAGAUACCGGGCCCUACGGGGCGCAGCAGGCGCGAAACCUUUACACUGCACGACAGUGCGAUAAGGGGACUCCGAGUGCGAGGGCAUACAGUCCUCGCUUUUCUGCACCGUAAGGUGGUGCAGGAACAAGUGCUGGGCAAGACCGGUGCCAGCCGCCGCGGUAAUACCGGCAGCACGAGUGAUGGCCGAUAUUAUUGGGCCUAAAGCGUCCGUAGCCGGCCGGAAAAGUCCGUUGGGAAAUUUUGCUCGCCUAACCAGCAGGCGUCCAGCGGAAACUGUCCGGCUUGGGGCCGGAAGAUCCGAGGGGUACGUCCGGGGUAGGAGUGAAAUCCCGUAAUCCUGGACGGACCGCCGGUGGCGAAAGCGCCUCGGAAGGACGGACCCGACGGUCAGGGACGAAAGCUAGGGUCUCGAACCGGAUUAGAUACCCGGGUAGUCCUAGCUGUAAACGAUGUUCGCUAGGUGUGGCGUCGACUACGAGUCGGCGCUGUGCCGCAGGGAAGCCGCUAAGCGAACCGCCUGGGAAGUACGUCCGCAAGGAUGAAACUUAAAGGAAUUGGCGGGGGAGCACUACAACCGGAGGAGCCUGCGGUUUAAUUGGAUUCAACGCCGGA